GUGACUGCUGGCACUGGUGGCAUUUGUUAGGUGUGCUGUGCGACUAGGCGGUCACUCACAUCAGAACUCGGUUCCUGCCGCAGUUGGAAGUCACCAGAUCUGUGCGGUGGCCCGUGCACG